rnacentral:rRNA from 1 species
AGCGGGGGACUCGCAAGAGCCUCGCGCGAUUGGAGCGGCCGAUAUCAGAUUAGCUAGUUGGCGGGGUAAAAGCCCACCAAGGCGACGAUCUGUAGCUGGUCUGAGAGGACGACCAGCCACACUGGAACUGAGACACGGUCCAGACUCCUACGGGAGGCAGCAGUGGGGAAUUUUGGACAAUGGGCGAAAGCCUGAUCCAGCAAUGCCGCGUGCAGGAUGAAGGCCUUCGGGUUGUAAACUGCUUUUGUACGGAACGAAACGGUCUGCCUUAAUACGGUGGGCUAAUGACGGUACCGUAAGAAUAAGCACCGGCUAACUACGUGCCAGCAGCCGCGGUAAUACGUAGGGUGCGAGCGUUAAUCGGAAUUACUGGGCGUAAAGCGUGCGCAGGCGGUUAUAUAAGACAGAUGUGAAAUCCCCGGGCUCAACCUGGGACCUGCAUUUGUGACUGUAUAGCUAGAGUACGGUAGAGGGGGAUGGAAUUCCGCGUGUAGCAGUGAAAUGCGUAGAUAUGCGGAGGAACACCGAUGGCGAAGGCAAUCCCCUGGACCUGUACUG